GCCUGAGUGGCUCAGUGGUUGAGCAUCUGCCUUUGGCUCAGGUGUCGUGAUUCUAGGGUCCUAGGAUCGAGUCCUGCAUCAGGCU
rnacentral:tRNA from 1 species